AGCAAGGAGGCCAGUGUGGUGGAGAGGGUGGGGAAGGAGGAAAAGGUGGGUGGAAGUUGACGUCAGGAGAUGGACGGAGGGGCACAUGGCGCAGGGCCAGGUAAGGCACUGCCGAGACUGUGGCUUUGAGGGGCAGGGUGCUGUGAAAGGCGAAUAACGGCCCCCCAGUGACGUCUACAUCCUAAUCCCCUGUGAAUGUUACGUUAUAUGACAAAAGAAUGCAGCCAUGAUUAAGUUCAGGAUCGUGCUUUGGGGAGAUUAUCCUGGAUUGCCCUGGCAGGCUCUUUAUGUAAUCACACAGAUCCUUAUAAUCGAGAAGGACACAGGAAGCGUGAGUCAGAGGGGCUGUGACAACAAAGGAAGCAAAGCCCUUUGAAGACGGGAGAAGGAGCUGAAAGUCAAGCAGCACUUCAGAGUCAGAAUGAUUGAGUGUGAGAGAGUCCAUGGGCCAUCGUGAGUGUUGAAGACGGAAGGGGGCCUUGAGCUAAGGAAUGCAAGAAACUUCUAGAAGCUGGAGGAGGGCCAAGCUCAGUGGCUCACGCCUGCAGUCCCAGCACUUUGGGAGGCCAAGGAAAUGGGAAACUAAUCUAGAGGAUGAGGAAGAAAUCACAGAAGGAGAAGUUGCGUCUCAUGCUGACUCAGUAUGCAAAUACUCUCUGGGAGACUUCUCCAUCCUCAGACCGCUCCAGACACCAAAUGCCUGGGCCUUUGACCGCCUUGCUAAGAGGGUCAACCAAGCCAGCCAGGGGAUUGGAGAGAAGAGUGUGCCAAUAAUUGGUUUGUUCAUCAAUUCAAUGAAGAUUUAUUGAGCAUCUGUUGUGGACAGCCCUAUUCUAGGUUCUGGGGAGACAGCCAUGAAUGAGACAGUGAUGGCUGCUUUUGGAGAGCUGACCUUCUAGUGGGAGACAGGCCACAGAAAAACAAAGCACAUGGAACAUAAUGUCAGGGAUGACGAUGCUGUGAAGGAAUGGAGCAGGUGCUAAGAACCUACUGGAACGGGCAUGCUUAAGAGGUGCUGGAGAGGGUCAACUCUUGGGUGACUGCUUCGAGCAAUGGGAGGGUGGGGAGCAGGGGUGUUGUACACACUGCGACAGGGCCAGGUUUGCAAAAGAAAUCAAGACAUGGCCACACAAACACUUCUGUGUGACUGUUCACAGCAGCAUUAUUCACAAUAGCCAAAAGGUAGAAAUAACCCAAAUGCCCAUGAACAGACG
rnacentral:lncRNA from 1 species